AUCGAACGCUGGCGGCAGGCCUAACACAUGCAAGUCGAGCGGCAGCGGGAAAGUAGCUUGCUACUUUUGCCGGCGAGCGGCGGACGGGUGAGUAAUGCCUGGGGAUCUGCCCAGUCGAGGGGGAUAACUACUGGAAACGGUAGCUAAUACCGCCUACGCCCUGCGGGGGAAAGCAGGGGACCUUCGGGCCUUGCGCGAUUGGAUGAACCCAGGUGGGAUUAGCUAGUUGGUGAGGUUAUGGCUCACCAAGGCGACGAUCCAUAGCUGGUCUGAGAGGAUGACCAGCCACACUGGAACUGAGACACGGUCCAGACUCCUACGGGAGGCAGCAGUGGGGCAUAUUGCACAAUGGGGGAAACCCUGAUGCAGCCAUUCCGCGUGUGUGAAGAAGGCCUUCGGGUUGUAAAGCACUUUCAGCGAGGAGGAAAGGUUGGUAGCUAAUAACUGCCAGCUGUGACGUUACUCGCAGAAGAAGCACCGGCUAACUCCGUGCCAGCCGCCGCGGUAAGAC
rnacentral:rRNA from 1 species